rnacentral:lncRNA from 1 species
AGCAUUCUAGGCAGCAGGGGGCUGGCCUCAGGCGCCAAAGAGAAGGGACGUCUGUCGGCAGUCACCCAGAGAUGGGGCUUGGGGGACCCGGGGCCAGCCCGGGGGCUGAGCUCGCCCUAUCCUGUCCAGGGCCAUAAAUAUGCUGUGCUCUUUGACCCAGUCAUCCCACUGUUUGGAAUUCCUCCCAGAGACAUAACUGCAAAGGGAAAAAUAGCUAUACGUGCACAGCUGUUUAUAGCAACGUUAUUUAUAAGAGUAAAAGAGCGGAGCCGGCCAAAGCGCACUGCACGCUGAAGGAAGGAGUGUCGACAGGCGGAAUAUUUAUUAUACAGCCCAGAAAAAUGGUCAACUUGGAAGAUCCUUUGUACAUGGACGUGAAGGCAAGUGAGAACCCAAACCUGAACCUUCUUGCAGGGGCAGAAGGUGACGACUGGGGGCCCCUCCCGGCCACGCAGCGGCCCCAGUGCUGGAGAAGGGCAGGGUGAAAGGGACCAAGACCUGCCCUUGGGGAGGACAGGAGGGAACACCCCAGAGACCAGCCUCAGGGUAAACCAUGAACAAUAGACAAAACAACAGGCAAGAACUUCCCAGAGGAGGGGAUAGGAUGAUGAGUUUCUGGGCCGCCUCUGUCUCUUACUGCCCAUGGAGCUUGGGCUCUGGUCACCGGGAAGAGGUCCAGCAGAGGUCCACGGGCUCCUGAGGCAGGAGUGAGGCCCAGGAGUCUGGCCAGAGCUGCGGUAGGGCAUCGAGCCUCGGCCACAGGGGGAGAAUCUGUCUGGCUGCCCUCAGGAAGCCCAUUAGCCCUGGGGGCCUACGGGUCACCUGGGGAGAAGCCGUCACCUGGGGAGUGAGCUGCGGUCUCUGCUAACCUGUGAGGUAGGGGCCGGAGAGUGACUGCUUCUGAGGGCUGGAGGUCUACCCUGCCCAGCAAGGCCAGAUCUGCAGGGGGAGACAUCCUACGGUGGGCUGGAGGGAGGAGUUGGAGACAGAGGUGGCAGUGUGACUGCUGGCCCGCAUCCUGCCCACUCCAUGAGGUCCGUAAUACAAGAGGCAGCCACUGGGAAGCAGUGCCCUCCCCAGCUCGGUCCUGGUAGGAGGCUCUCUGGAGGCCCAUCCAUGGUCCCAGAGCUGAGAGGGAGCAUCCUGGGGAGGGGGACACAGAGGGAGCAUCCUGGGGUUGGGGGCACGGAGGCAGAGCACUGCAGGAGGCCCCGUGUGCAAAUCCUGUGGCCAGUGCAGGGAGCAGGGAGGCCACUCUGCCCCAGGCAGCUAAGAGACUCCCAGCUCCCAGCCGUGGGAGGCACCAGGCAAACACAGGAGCCGGGGAGCUAAACAGCCAUUAGCAGCGAUGGAGAAGCCGAUUAUCUGCACGGCUGUCAGGAGCAUCUCCCGCCCCCUCGCCCCACAGCUGGGGGGGCCCAGCUCACAGGCCUUCCCAGAGUCACUGCCUGCCCAGGGACGCCCCAACCGGGAAAGGAAGCAACAGGCUGGACAUCUGGGCUACUCUGUCUGGCUUUAGCCUUGGGGACCUGGCUCUCCACCUAGGGACAGGGACCUGGAGGCCUGGACCUGGCUCUCCACCUAGGGACAGGGACCUGGAGGCCUAGAGGCGAGGCCACCUCUGCAUCUGCACCCCCCCAGCUGGGGGUGAAAGUACAACCAUCGUGCAGGGACAUUGGAGGGGUCCCAUGAGACAGUUUGUCUGAAAGCACUUGGCAAGUGAUAAGGGAGGAAGGGACACUGCAGUGACGAUCCUUCUGUCACAAAUCCAGCCCUUGGGGACUUGGCUAUCUUUUCCUUCACACAGGGAGGGCGGAAGGGUGGCUCAGGGAGGCUCUGCCACCUGACCCCGUGUACACAGCUGCCCACAGAAGUGGUUCCCGCUGCAGGAGCCAGAAGGAAGGUCAGAGGGCCCCAGCUCUGCCGUGACGGGGGUCUCCAGGCCCCGGGGACAGCACUGCAGACCAGCUCUGCGGCUCUGAGGGAUCACGCCCAGGCCGCUGGGGACCUGGUUUUGUCCCUGGCUGGGGCUGCUGUCCAAGCAGUCUGAGAAAUGAAGGUCUCCAGCCAAAGUCGGCCUCUUCACCUCUGGGGGGCUGCACCCCUGGCGAGGGAAAUGGGGGCCAUAGGCAGCUAACAGGGGUGUGCCUACGGAGGGGGAAGGCACGUGGCAGGCCACCCCUCCUGUUCUGUCGGAGGCCCUCGGAAACUGGCACCUCCCAUGAUGCUCUGAACUUGACACCCACAGAGGUCACUGGGGAGGUGGGACAAAAAUCACACCCCGUGGGGACCGGGGAGGCGACUCACAGGACAGUGGGGGAGGGGAAGCUUCUCUGGAGCCUCCCUGGCAAAGUGAAGGACGGGUGCUGGUGACUCAGGGACAGUUGGGGAGUACACAGGGGAGGGAGCUCAGCCCUUGAAGCCACCAUGGUCUGCACCAGGCACAGUGCCUGAGGGGUGGCCUGCCACGGGCCUAGCUCUGGCUGCUGGGCUUCUCCUCUGCUACCGGGGUGGUGGAUAGGCUCCGUCCCCCCUGCCACUGCCAGGCUGUGGGAAUCAGGGGGACGAGGACUGAGCAGCAGGGUGCUGAGCCCCGGAAUCUCACUUCCAGCUCUGCAGACAGGACAGAGAGGACGGGUGGUCCCUCCUGCAGUGAGAGUGGCCCAGCUCCCUGCAGGCUCCCGCGGGCCACCCAACCUGCCACCCAGUGUGCAAAGCCCUGGUGGAGCAGGGGGGAAACAGCACAGCUCGAGCAGGGCACCUCUUGCCCAAAGUGGGGUGGCAUGGCCGUGCCCUGUCCUCUGGGCCCACGGCAACCUGCCCACCCCUGCAGCCUCCGCCCAGCCCUCUUCCCCUGACAUCCAUCCCGUCCAUCACCAAGUCUCACCAGCUGCUGCUCCCAGCCCUGAGUGGCCCGGCCAGCCCUGGGGGGGCGGGGAACCAGCCACAGGGGGCAGGCAAGGCCGGGCUUCCUCCCCCCCACACCCCUCCCGUCCCUCCUCCACUCACUGGCCCAAGAGAGGCUCUGGAGGCUCCAUGGCGUCAGCUCCACAAGCAGAACUGCCCCUGGGCUUGUUCCCCGUGGUCUGGCUGUCACAAAGCUGGGGCCAUCUAGUUCUGAAUGUCAAGUGAAAGGACAGGUCAAUGCUUCACCUGGAGAAGGGCACGCCCGCCAGCCCCACUUCUACCACUGUCCCCACCCAGGCCACAGCCCUGGCCAAGCAGAGGCAGAGGCCCAGGUUCAGGGAAGGGCGCAAUUGACCCCGGCCACCUAGUGAGGGAGGGGCAGGGGGUCUUCUCCCCACUCACUACUGAGAGCCUAGAGGCCAGAGAGAAGCCAGGAGCCCCAGCCAGACUGCCUGGGGCCACACAGGAGCCCUGCCUUAGCAGGGUGUGGAGGUGACAGCUUGAGGAGAAGGCAGGCCAGUAGCUUUCUAGGGAGUCAUGGCCCUGGCCACAGGGCAGGACAGACAGACUCUGCCCUUUAGUACACCAUCUGCACUGCUCUCCAAACCAGCCACGACCCUAGGCCCUCACAGCCGCCUCCUCCAGCCUGGGACGUUCCCAGGAGCAAAUUCCCACUCCCGCUCCAGCCAGCAUGGUCGGGGAACCAGGCCAACCUCAGCUCUGAUCUCAGCUCCAGCCGACUGUGUGACCUUCGGUAAGUCACUUUCCCUCUCUGUGUCAGGCUAGCUCUGGUCUUCAGAAUCACCCGGGACUGAAGAAAACGCAUGUUCUUGGCACAUCCAUAGCGGUUCUGGGUUGAUGUGUGUACUUAGAAACGCCUGCUGCUCGCCCUUUGGGGACAUGGCCAUGAAGGAUUGUGUGUGGCUGGAAGCACCCUGUGGAGUCCCUGGAUGGACCAUAUCACUGCUCUGGACCUCGGUCUUCUUCCCUAUGAAGAACCCUCAGAGAAUCCUGUGGGUGUUAACAGGUCCCAUGGGGAUGACAUGGUGACGGUGCCUGGCCACAUGGCCAAGAACUCCAAAGGGACAGGGCUCAGGGGUUCAGCUCUGCCAUGAGCCACAGCUGGACAAGACGGAGGUCCGUUUUCCCCUGGUCUGUCUGCGGGCAGCCUGGGGCACUGGGUGCCCUGACCCACGAGGGAAGGCCUCUCUGCGGUGGACAGAGCCCCUGCCCCGGGGGAAGGGGAUGCUCCAGCAGAAGCCUGGCCUCCCUUCCUGCUGCUCACACUGUCAGCUGUGAGCAGGCCUCUCCGGGCCUCAGUGUCCUGUCUGUGAGGUGGGUGUGAUGAUACACCCAGUCCAGAAGAAGCCCAUGAGUAGCUGGGCAUGGCCGUUCCCAGGGACCCUCCUCUCCCUUCCUCCCUGCUGGUGCAGGCAACCUUCCAUGAGAGAAGGUGCCCAAUGUUGGCUGCUCCAGUCCUUCCACAGCGAAGGCAUUACCCUGGGCUCAAUCCUAGAUGAGGUAAGCUGGGAGGAAGAGACUUCCAUGAAAAAUACCCCAACGCUGUUUUUGGAUAUACGAGGGUAUGUUGUCCAGUGCUGUGGCAGCCCUCUUGUGACCUUGAGGAGGCAAGCCUAAGGAAGAAAUUGUUCUUGAUCCUAACGUUGAGCUGCUAAAUUAGCCAUCCUCUGGCUCUGUUAAUAACAUCAUAAGACAUUGUAUGCCUUUGCACACUUUGGCUGGUUACUUACAGUCAAAGCAUCCUAACUGACACAAAGGCUCAGCAUUAUUGGGUACCCACCUGCCUGGCCAGCCUCAUUUUCCACCACUGCCCUGCUGAAGCAUCUCUGAGUGACGCUGCUUCCUCUGUUUGAACUGCUUCCUGGGAGGCCACCUUGGCCUCCUCUAAUUGGUGAACUCCUGUCCUGGGAACAGGUGCCCACAGAUCCUCAUGGCCUGGCUGUCCUCCACCCAGACACCGGAGAGGACACCUGAGGUCCCCAGCUGCUGGGGACAGAGCCGGGCUCGGCACCCCGCAGGGAAGCUGGGUGCCCUCCAGAGCCUUAGACAGCCACUCAGAUCCACAUGACAAGACGGGAGGGAGGCAGGGCAGGGAGCCGCACAAUGCCACCGCCAGCCACCGAGGAGGGGGUGGCGUAGAGCGGGGAGCGGCAGGAUCCCGCCCCCAAUCACGAGGAUCACCCCUGCACACGUCCCUCAGCCUGGGGACCUGGGGAGGUGAGGGGACAGGCAAGGGAGGGAGGUCUGGCCUCAGCCUGGGCAGAGGCGAG